rnacentral:RNase_P_RNA from 1 species
UCGGUGUGCGGUUCUAUCGCUCCGGCCGAAACGCCGGGGAGGAAAGUCCGGACAAUACAGAGCGCCACGCUGUGGAAAGCACAGGUAGCUGUGAGGCUAAGGCCGGCAUAACAGAAAAUAACCGUCGUGGAAACGCGAUAAGGGUGAAAAGGCGAGGUAAGAGCUCACCGGUUACGGCAGCGAUGCCGUAAGCCGUAUGCCCUCGUGGAUUGCAAGGCCAUGUAUAUCGGCAACUGUAGGAUGGCUCGUCCGACGCCGAGGGGUAGGCCGCAUUAGAUAAAUGAUAGAACAUGACAGAAUCCGGCUUAUACGCACACCGUUUUU